CACGUAGGGGGCGAGCGUUGUCCGGAUUUAUUGGGUGUAAAGAGCUCGUAGGCGGUUUGUCGCGUCUGCUGUGAAAAUCCAGGGCUUAACCCUGGACCUGCAGUGGGUACGGGCAGACUAGAGUGCGGUAGGGGAGAUCGGAAUUCCUGGUGUAGCGGUGAAAUGCGCAGAUAUCAGGAGGAACACCGGUGGCGAAGGCGGGUCUCUGGGCCGAUACUGACGCUGAGGAGCGAAAGCGUGGGGAGCGAACAGG
rnacentral:rRNA from 1 species